rnacentral:rRNA from 1 species
UUAAGCGACUAAGCGUACACGGUGGAUGCCCUGGCAGUCAGAGGCGAUGAAGGACGUGCUAAUCUGCGAUAAGCGUCGGUAAGGUGAUAUGAACCGUUAUAACCGGCGAUUUCCGAAUGGGGAAACCCAGUGUGUUUCGUCACACUAUCAUUAACUGAAUCCAUAGGUUAAUGAGGCGAACCGGGGGAACUGAAACAUCUAAGUACCCCGAGGAAAAGAAAUCAACCGAGAUUCCCCCAGUAGCGGCGAGCGAACGGGGAGCAGCCCAGAGCCUGAAUCAGUAUGUGUGUUAGUGGAAGCGUCUGGAAAGGCGCGCGAUACAGGGUGACAGCCCCGUACACAAAAAUGCACAUGCUGUGAGCUCGAUGAGUAGGGCGGGACACGUGGUAUCCUGUCUGAAUAUGGGGGGACCAUCCUCCAAGGCUAAAUACUCCUGACUGACCGAUAGUGAACCAGUACCGUGAGGGAAAGGCGAAAAGAACCCCGGCGAGGGGAGUGAAAAAGAACCUGAAACCGUGUACGUACAAGCAGUGGGAGCACGCUUAGGCGUGUGACUGCGUACCUUUUGUAUAAUGGGUCAGCGACUUAUAUUCUGUAGCAAGGUUAACCGAAUAGGGGAGCCGAAGGGAAACCGAGUCUUAACUGGGCGUUAAGUUGCAGGGUAUAGACCGAAACCCGGUGAUCUAGCCAUGGGCAGGUUGAAGGUUGGGUAACACUAACUGGAGGACCGAACCGACUAAUGUUGAAAAAUUAGCGGAUGACUUGUGGCUGGGGGUGAAAGGCCAAUCAAACCGGGAGAUAGCUGGUUCUCCCCGAAAGCUAUUUAGGUAGCGCCUCGUGAAUUCAUCUCCGGGGGUAGAGCACUGUUUCGGCAAGGGGGUCAUCCCGACUUACCAACCCGAUGCAAACUGCGAAUACCGGAGAAUGUUAUCACGGGAGACACACGGCGGGUGCUAACGUCCGUCGUGAAGAGGGAAACAACCCAGACCGCCAGCUAAGGUCCCAAAGUCAUGGUUAAGUGGGAAACGAUGUGGGAAGGCCCAGACAGCCAGGAUGUUGGCUUAGAAGCAGCCAUCAUUUAAAGAAGCGUAAUAGCUCACUGGUCGAGUCGGCCUGCGCGGAAGAUGUAACGGGGCUAAACCAUGCACCGAAGCUGCGGCAGCGACGCUGAUGCGUUGUUGGGUAGGGGAGCGUUCUGUAAGCCUGCGAAGGUGUGCUGUGAGGCAUGCUGGAGGUAUCAGAAGUGCGAAUGCUGACAUAAGUAACGAUAAAGCGGGUGAAAGGCCCGCUCGCCGGAAGACCAAGGGUUCCUGUCCAACGUUAAUCGGGGCAGGGUGAGUCGACCCCUAAGGCGAGGCCGAAAGGCGUAGUCGAUGGGAAACAGGUUAAUAUUCCUGUACUUGGUGUUACUGCGAAGGGGGGACGGAGAAGGCUAUGUUGGCCGGGCGACGGUUGUCCCGGUUUAAGCGUGUAGGCUGGUUUUCUAGGCAAAUCCGGAAAAUCAAGGCUGAGGCGUGAUGACGAGGCACUACGGUGCUGAAGCAACAAAUGCCCUGCUUCCAGGAAAAGCCUCUAAGCAUCAGGUAACAUCAAAUCGUACCCCAAACCGACACAGGUGGUCAGGUAGAGAAUACCAAGGCGCUUGAGAGAACUCGGGUGAAGGAACUAGGCAAAAUGGUGCCGUAACUUCGGGAGAAGGCACGCUGAUAUGUAGGUGAAGUCCCUCGCGGAUGGAGCUGAAAUCAGUCGAAGAUACCAGCUGGCUGCAACUGUUUAUUAAAAACACAGCACUGUGCAAACACGAAAGUGGACGUAUACGGUGUGACGCCUGCCCGGUGCCGGAAGGUUAAUUGAUGGGGUUAGCGCAAGCGAAGCUCUUGAUCGAAGCCCCGGUAAACGGCGGCCGUAACUAUAACGGUCCUAAGGUAGCGAAAUUCCUUGUCGGGUAAGUUCCGACCUGCACGAAUGGCGUAAUGAUGGCCAGGCUGUCUCCACCCGAGACUCAGUGAAAUUGAACUCGCUGUGAAGAUGCAGUGUACCCGCGGCAAGACGGAAAGACCCCGUGAACCUUUACUAUAGCUUGACACUGAACAUUGAGCCUUGAUGUGUAGGAUAGGUGGGAGGCUUUGAAGUGUGGACGCCAGUCUGCAUGGAGCCGACCUUGAAAUACCACCCUUUAAUGUUUGAUGUUCUAACGUUGACCCGUAAUCCGGGUUGCGGACAGUGUCUGGUGGGUAGUUUGACUGGGGCGGUCUCCUCCUAAAGAGUAACGGAGGAGCACGAAGGUUGGCUAAUCCUGGUCGGACAUCAGGAGGUUAGUGCAAUGGCAUAAGCCAGCUUGACUGCGAGCGUGACGGCGCGAGCAGGUGCGAAAGCAGGUCAUAGUGAUCCGGUGGUUCUGAAUGGAAGGGCCAUCGCUCAACGGAUAAAAGGUACUCCGGGGAUAACAGGCUGAUACCGCCCAAGAGUUCAUAUCGACGGCGGUGUUUGGCACCUCGAUGUCGGCUCAUCACAUCCUGGGGCUGAAGUAGGUCCCAAGGGUAUGGCUGUUCGCCAUUUAAAGUGGUACGCGAGCUGGGUUUAGAACGUCGUGAGACAGUUCGGUCCCUAUCUGCCGUGGGCGCUGGAGAACUGAGGGGGGCUGCUCCUAGUACGAGAGGACCGGAGUGGACGCAUCACUGGUGUUCGGGUUGUCAUGCCAAUGGCACUGCCCGGUAGCUAAAUGCGGAAGAGAUAAGUGCUGAAAGCAUCUAAGCACGAAACUUGCCCCGAGAUGAGUUCUCCCUGACUCCUUGAGAGUCCUGAAGGAACGUUGAAGACGACGACGUUGAUAGGCCGGGUGUGUAAGCGCAGCGAUGCGUUGAGCUAACCGGUACUAAUGAACCGUGAGGCUUAACCUU